CAAAUACUCCCUCUGUCCGGAAAUACUUGUCAUCAAAAUGGAUAAAAGGAAAUGUAUCUAGACGUAUUUUAGUUUUAGAUACAUCACUUUUUAUCCAUUUUGAUGACAAGUAUUUUCGGACGGAGGGAGUAGAAA
rnacentral:pre_miRNA from 1 species